rnacentral:rRNA from 1 species
CAUGUCCUUUAGAAUUUAAUUUAAGGUCUAGCCUGCCCACUGAAAUUUAUUUUAAAUGGCCGCAGUAAUUUGACUGUGCAAAGGUAGCAUAAUCAUUAGUUUUUUAAUUGAAAGCUUGUAUGAAAGGUUGGACGAGGUAAAAUCUGUCUCUAAUUAAUUUAAUUUAGAAUUUAACUUUUAAGUCAAAAGGCUUAAAUAUAAUUAAAAGACGAGAAGACCCUAUAGAUCUUUAUAAUUUAUUUAUUAAAUUUAAUCAGGAAUUUUUUAAAUUUUAUUAAUUUAAUUAUUUUAUUGGGGUAAUAUAAAGAUUAAAUUAAUUCUUUUUUUUUAUUAACAUUAAUUUAUGAUUUUAUGAUCCAAUUUUAUUGGUUAUAAGAUUAAGUUACCUUAGGGAUAACAGCGUUAUUUUUUUAGAGAGUUCUUAUCGAUAAAAAAGUUUACGACCUCGAUGUUGGAUUAAAGAUUAUUUCAGGUGCAGAAGUUUGAAAAUUUUGGUCUGUUCGACCAUUAAAUCUUUACAUGAUCUGAGUUCAGACCGGUGUAAGCCAGGUCGGUUUCUAUCUUUAAUAAAUUAAAAUAUUUUAGUACGAAAGGACCAAUUAUUUAAUAUAAAAUAUUUAAAUUUUGAUUAUUAUU